rnacentral:rRNA from 1 species
UACAGAGGUCUCAAGCGUUGUUCGGAUUCAUUGGGCGUAAAGGGUGCGUAGGCGGCGCGGUAAGUCGGGUGUGAAAUCUCGGAGCUUAACUCCGAAACUGCAUUCGAUACUGCCGUGCUUGAGGACUGGAGAGGAGACUGGAAUUUACGGUGUAGCAGUGAAAUGCGUAGAUAAUCGUAAGGAAGACCAGUGGCGAAGGCGGGUCUCUGGACAGUUCCUGACGCUGAGACACGAAGGCCAGGGGAGCAAACGGG